UAUAAUCUUGGCGAUGAAGUUCGCCAUUAAAUGCUCCCUCUCUUAUCGGGGGCUGAUAACUUCUACUGGUUU
rnacentral:ncRNA from 2 species